rnacentral:rRNA from 1 species
UACGAAGGGGGCUAGCGUUGCUCGGAAUCACUGGGCGUAAAGGGUGCGUAGGCGGGUCUUUUAAGUCAGGGGUGAAAUCCUGGAGCUCAACUCCAGAACUGCCUUUGAUACUGAAGAUCUUGAAUUCGGGAGAGGUGAGUGGAACUGCGAGUGUAGAGGGUGAAAAUUCGUAGAUAUUCGGAAGAACACCAGUGGCGAAGGCGGCUCACUGGCCCGGUACUGACGCUGA